GGGCGUCUGGCGCAGUGGUAGCGCGCCCCGUUUGCAUAGAUUCAAGAUCAUCAGAUCUUGAAAACGGUGCCUCGGGAAGGUCUUGGGUUCGAUCCCCAAGUCGUCCA